rnacentral:rRNA from 1 species
UACGUAGGUGGCAAGCGUUGUCCGGAUUUAUUGGGUUUAAAGGGUGCGUAGGCGGUUCUUUAAGUCAGUGGUGAAAUACUUCAGCUUAACUGGAGAGGUGCCAUUGAUACUGGGAAACUUGAGUACUGAUGAGGUAGGCGGAAUGGACGGUGUAGCGGUGAAAUGCUUAGAUAUCGUCCAGAACACCGAUAGCGAAGGCAGCUUACUAAGGAGUAACUGACGCUGAGGCACGAAAGUGUGGGGAUCAAACAGG